CCUUGGGGUCCCUUACAACCCAAGCCAUUCUAUGAUUCUAUGAUGACUCUGGUCAACCUUGCCUCGACCCUUCCUAAAGACCCCACUGCUCAACAAGAUGCAGGAACUCAUUGUUGCCUUGGGAACGCCUUCAGAACACACAGCACCCUACCUAGGGCACGGCCUGUAGCACCUUGGAGCUCUUUCUUCACACUGCUGCGUUGUUGUUUUCUUAAUCCUAUUCACACUUGACAUGCCUUAUGCCCAUGGCUCCCAGACCCAGCUACGAUAACAAGGUGUUCCUUUGCACUCCCUGGCCAUGCCCCUUGCUCUUCUCUCCCUCAAGCCUUGGCCUUGCGUUGAAGGAUCACAGUGAACCACAGAACCUCAGCGCAAGGCACAGACUCAGCAUCAGCUACAGGAGGGGCACGCACCCAGCCCAAGGCACAGCCACAGCAAAGGCUGGGCACUGUGCUGCCCGUGGCCAAGAGUGCAGCAUAGGAAGGACCCAGGAAUGAGG
ensembl:lncRNA